rnacentral:rRNA from 1 species
CCCCUAGAUGUUCUGGGCCGCACGCGCGCUACACUGAACAGUUCAACAAGUCUUAACCUUGGCCGAUAGGUCUGGGUAAUCUUUGAACGCUGUUCGUGAUUGGGAUAGACCUUUGCAAUUAUGGGUCUUCAACGAGGAAUUCCUAGUAAACGCAAGUCAUCAGCUUGCAUUGAUUAUGUCCCUGCCCUUUGUACACACCGCCCGUCGCACCUACCGAUUGAAUGGUCCGGUGAAAUCUCGGGACGGCGGCUUGGUCGCUUGCGUCCGACUGCUGAAACUUGAUUAAACCAUNUNAUUUAGNGGAAGGUGAANUCGUANCA